AGAGAGAGACAUGCGCGCAUAUCAAUAAGCGGAGGAAAAGAAACUAACAAGGAUUCCCUUAGUAACGGCGAGUGAAGCGGGAAGAGCUCAAAUUUGAAAUCUUCAAGGUUUUACCUUGACGAAUUGUAGUUUAAAGAAGUGUUUUCUGUUGGAGUUUUGGUAAAAGUUCUUUGGAAUAGGACAUCAUAGAGGGUGAGAAUCCCGUAUUUGACCAUUAUUUCCAGCUGUGUGAUACACUUUCAAAGAGUCGGAUUGUUUGGGAAUGCAGUCCAAAAUGGGUGGUAAAUUUCAUCUAAAGCUAAAUACUGGCGAGAGACCGAUAGCGAACAAGUACCGUGAGGGAAAGAUGAAAAGAACUUUGAAAAGAGAGUUAAACAGUACGUGAAAUUGUCAAAAGGGAAGCGUUUGACACCAGUGUUGUUUUCUCGAAAAUCAAUUAAAAAUGGCUGGGAUUUUGUGUUGUAUUGACUUUAUCAGCUUUCUGCACUUUUUUCCUGUCUUUUUUAAUGCACUUUUCGUUUAACAAGUCAACAUCAAUUUCUUUUGUUGUAAAAGAGUCAUUGGAAGGUGGCUUUCACUUUCGGUGAAAGUGUUUAUAGCCUUUGCCUCUGCAAUCGGAGAGAUUGAGGUCUGCAGCGUAGAUCCUUCGGGGUUAGAUACAUUUGUGCUAAGCUAUAGCUUUUCAUAGACAACUUGUUGACUAUGAUCAGUCAUGUAGCUUACUCGCUGAUGUCAUUUUACCUACGCUUAGGAUGUUGACAGCAGUAUAGACUG
rnacentral:rRNA from 1 species